rnacentral:misc_RNA from 1 species
GUUAUUCUGGUGAUUAACCAGACGACAGUUAAACUCUGUGGAGUAGCUUAUAUUUGUACAAUACACGUACAUAUUUAACUAGCCAGCGGUUCUGUUUCAUUUUGAAGUCGUAGACAAAUAUCAAGAUGCAAGUCUUAGAGUCCUCCAUAUUUAUAUGACAUAAUAAAUAGUUCCUCGGAGUAAUAUAGAUUUUUUCUGUAAAUGUGGAGACCAAUAGUUCGACCGACGAUAUCGGUGUACAAAGAGGGACAACCUCACUGUACAUCCUUUUCCUUGGACAUUUAUCGAUCUUAAUUGUUCACUAAAAAUAUGCAUUAUAUACUACGGCAUGUUUCUAUGCAUGAAUACUUAUCUAAGCAUAUAUCCUAAAUCGAAUGCCAGGUAUCAAAAUUGCAGUCAGAUUUAGAUAAUUGUUAUCCAAUGAAUUGUUAUAAUUUGUGUAGUAUUUAUUUGUACUUUAGUAUUUAUUCUUUCUUAUUAUUUAUUCGUCAAAUGUAACUGUAAUAUUAUUUAAUUGAUAUGUUCAUAUCAUAUUUUUUUGUGUCUUUUGUUAAUUUGACAAGUUUCAUGAAAUGCAAUAUGUUAUUCAGUCAUAUUAUGUACAUUUACCUUAUUUAUUACUUGUUGUGCAGUCUUGGCAAUGGUAUAUGUUAAUAAUACUAGUUAUGGUUUCAUGUGCUAUAUUUAUAUGUUAUAUACAAAUGCCUGUAAUCUUCCAAUUGUUAAAACUAUGUGCCAAAUCCUGAAUACAGUUAUAACAGAG